rnacentral:rRNA from 1 species
GUGGGGAAUUGUUCGCAAUGGGCGCAAGCCUGACGACGCAACGCCGCGUGGAGGAUGAAGAUCUUCGGGUCGUAAACUCCUGUCGAGCGGGAAGAAUACCUUUCGAGUGAACAGCUCGGGAGGUUGACGGUACCGCGAGAGGAAGCCCCGGCUAACUCCGUGCCAGCAGCCGCGGUAAUACGGGGGGGGCAAGCGUUGUUCGGAAUUACUGGGCGUAAAGGGCUCGUAGGCGGCCGACUAAGUCUGACGUGAAAUCCCCCGGCUCAACUGGGGAACUGCGUCCGAUACUGGUGGGCUUGAGAUCGGGAGAGGGACGUGGAAUUCCAGGUGUAGCGGUGAAAUGCGUAGAUAUCUGGAGGAACACCGGUGGCGAAGGCGGCGUCCUGGACCGACACUGACGCUGAGGAGCGAAAGCCAGGGGAGCAAACGGGAUUAGAAACCCUAGUAGUCC